rnacentral:rRNA from 1 species
GACGAACGCUGGCGGCGCGCCUAACACAUGCAAGUCGAGCGACGAAAGGUCCUUCGGGACCCUGAAAGCGGCGAACGGGUGAGUAACACGUGGGUAACCCACCCUCGGUUCCGGGAUAGCCCGGGGAAACUCGGAUUAAUACCGGAUGGCCUCCCGGGUCUUACGGGCUCGGGAGAAAAGGGAGCUUCGGCCUCCGACCGGGGACGGGCCCGCGGCCGAUUAGCUUGUUGGCGGGGUAACGGCCCACCAAGGCGACGAUCGGUAGCUGGUCUGAGAGGACGAUCAGCCACACUGGGACUGAGACACGGCCCAGACUCCUACGGGAGGCAGCAGUGGGGAAUCUUGCGCAAUGGGCGAAAGCCUGACGCAGCGACGCCGCGUGCGGGAAGAAGGCCUUCGGGUUGUAAACCGCUUUCAGGAGGGACGAAGCCACUCGGGUUAAUAGCCCAGAGGGUGACGGUACCUUCAGAAGAAGCCCCGGCUAACUACGUGCCAGCAGCCGCAGUAA